CGGGGUGGAGUAAUGUCUGGGAAACGUGCCUGAUGGAGGGGGAUAACUGCUGGAAACGGUAGCUAAUACCGCAUAACGUCGCAAGACCAAAGAGGGGGACCUUCGGGCCUCUUGCCAUCGGAUGUGCCCAGAUGGGAUUAGCUAGUAGGUGGGGUAACGGCUCACCUAGGCGACGAUCCCUAGCUGGUCUGAGAGGAUGACCAGCCACACUGGAACUGAGACACGGUCCAG
rnacentral:rRNA from 1 species